CUCCACCUGAUGAGUCCUAAAUAGGACGAAACUCACGUCCUGGGU
rfam:Schistosoma curassoni strain Dakar, Senegal genome assembly, scaffold: SCTD_contig0000345